rnacentral:rRNA from 1 species
AUUGAACGCUGGCGGAAUGCUUUAUACAUGCAAGUCGAGCGGCAGCGCGGGGGCAACCCUGGCGGCGAGCGGCGAACGGGUGAGUAACAUAUCGGAACGUACCCAGUCGUGGGGGAUAACUAUCCGAAAGGAUAGCUAAUACCGCAUACGACCUGAGGGUGAAAGCGGGGGACCGUAAGGCCUCGCGCGAUUGGAGCGGCCGAUAUCGGAUUAGCUAGUUGGUGAGGUAAAGGCUCACCAAGGCGACGAUCCGUAGCGGGUCUGAGAGGACGGCCCGCCACACUGGGACUGAGACACGGCCCAGACUCCUACGGGAGGCAGCAGUGGGGAAUUUUGGACAAUGGGGGCAACCCUGAUCCAGCCAUGCCGCGUGAGUGAAGAAGGCC